rnacentral:rRNA from 1 species
UACGAAGGGGGGCUAGCGUUGCUCGGAAUCACUGGGCGUAAAGGGCUCGUAGGCGGCCAACUAAGUCGGAUGUGAAAUCCCCAAGCUUAACUUGGGAACUGCAUCCGAUACUGGAUGGCUUGAAUCCGGGAGAGGGAUGCAGAAUUCCAGGUGUAGCGGUGAAAUGCGUAGAUAUCGUUUGGAACGCCAAAGGUGAAAACAGGUUGCUGGGAGUGUGCUGACGCUGAGACACGAAAGCCAGGGGAGCGAACGGG